GCACCCGCAGGGCGCACUGGGCACAGGGCCUGUGCACCUCUGCUGCCUCUCACGCCUCCCUUACAGGGCUCCCGGAGGUGAAGGGGAUUCUCCCAAUAGCUCGUGGUCCCCUGGAGCAGCCAGACCGCGCUGGGCAACCUGCCCCUGCCCAGCAGAGCGGGUACACCGUGGCCUGACGGACUCUCUCAGCCUCUAUCAGGUUUACGUGCUGGCUGCGACUUUGCUGGGAAACAGCUCUCAGCAGAACAUCACAUGGGAACUUUGGGCCUUGCUAAUUCUGCAUAUUCC